rnacentral:lncRNA from 1 species
GGACUCAUCCAGGUUCAGGUAAUCUGUUCGUCCUUCUUACUGUUGAUUUUAGUUAUUUUUUUGUCUGAUCACUAUGUUUUUUUCUGGCUAAUGGGACUUGCUUGCCUUUUUUGCAGAACCGGUUGUAGUGGUAAAAUAGGCUGAAUUGGAAUGUAUGAUUGUGUAUUAAAACCCUGGCAAUCUGUCUUUGCUGUUGAGAAUAAUUUCAGUUUGUCUCGAUAUUUGCUCGAUGUGGUUUGUGUUACAAAGCUUUCGAAUUUGGAAAAUUCCACAAGUAUGUUCUACUUCCCUGCAUUGAGUUUAUGUUCUUCCGGUUUUUGGGUUUGCUCACCUUUUUUUGCAGAACCUAGAUGGGAUUGGCCCUAUCAUAUGAUUACGGCUCUCCAUCGAUUCUCCAUCAUCACUUCAUUAACCAGCAUACUUGGUGGAGGUGAAAUUCGGUGUGUAUUAUAUUUUCAGGCCUUUUAAGGGUGUUAUCUCAGCUUACCUCUUCUUAAUGGAUUGCCAAGACUCGUUUAAUUGAACAUCCUCCAAUUCUGUAGUGAUUUCUGUUGUCGGCAGUUUGUUCGUCGGAGUUCCUGGGUUGUGUUUUAUAAGUCACGACGGUAACCUUAUGAUACGCUCACACUAAGGAUAAAAUUCCAUUUCUCCCUCUCCCACUCUCUCUUUUUUUCUCUCUCUCCAUUUCUCUCUCUUUUUUUCUCUCUCUCCAUUUCUCUCUCUCUCUCUCUCUUCUCUUUCUUUCUCUCUCUUCAUCUCUCUCUCUAUUCUCUUUCUUUCUUUCUCUUCAUCUCUCUCUCUAACUCUCUCUCUCUCUCUGUGGCUACCCAGAGUCCUCCGCCGUCGCGGCUGCUCCCCACCUUGCGCCGCGGCGGCGGCGGCGGAGGGCUGUGGGCAGCCACAGAGAGAGAGAGUUAGAGAGAGAGAUGAAGAGAGAGAAAGAAAGAGAAGAGAGAGCUAUUUUAAUUUGUCUAGGGGUCUAUCAAAUUAAGAUUAGAAUUUGGGUUUUUACUAGGAAAGAAAAAUUCAUAGGACCUAUCCCUAUAUAUUUUCAAAACUAGGGAGGUAUCCUACAUUUCCCCUUUAUAUUAUUGGUAGUGUAAGUUUUAUUAUUAUUGUUAUUACCCGAAAUGGCUAAUUUCAAUCCAAUGCAAUCAAAAGAUAAUUUUAUCAUCAAAUGUAUUUUAAAUUUGUCAAAUAUCAACUAAAAUAUUAUUAUUUAAUUAAUUUUAGUAUCAUAGGUUUUAGUUGACUUUCCAGAUGGAUUCUUAAUUUGUCGAAUUACUAAGAUAUAAAACAUAAUAUAAUUAUUUAAUUAUGGGCAAAUAAGUGAUACUCCUUAUAUUUGAAAAUAUAUAUGAGAAGGUCUUAUUGAAUUUUUCUGUCCUAGUUAAAAACCCAAAUUUUAGUUUUAACUAGGCAGACCCCCGGACAAAUUAAAGUAUCUAUUUCGCCAUUUUAGUUUCAAUUCAAUACAUGCCCUAACCCCUUAACCUUCUCUCUCUUCCACUCGCACGUCUCACACCCACACCGUCGUUUACAUCUCUCCCUCGUCUCUUCGUCUCUCCCUCUCCCUCGUCUAUUUCGGGAGCCUCUGUUGUAUGUUUCUUUUCUCUAUGGUACUGUCUAGGUCUUCUUUGAAUGAUAAUUGAUCCAGCAAGGUCUUUAUGAAAUUUGGUUAUGGAGUGAUUUGCAAUUUAAUAUGCCGUGGUUUGGAUUUUGUUCAUGCUUUCCCAUCCUGGUCUGGUUGUUGGCUGGUUUAAUUUGUUUUCUGAGCGGUCGUAGGAUUUCUGGAAAAGGGACGUGUUUCGAGCUUUGAGCGUUUCUCCGUCUUUUCGUGAAUUUACGUAUAUGACAAUUUCAUGUUAUGGUUUGAGAAGUUCGGUUGCUACAUAUGACGGUUUGGGCUGUGUUGACCAUCGAGUGGUGGUGAGUAUGUUUGUGAUGCUAAGUUAUAUAUUCUUAUGAAUCCCUCCAUAAUCUAUUUCAAAUCCUAUUUCGUUUUUCGUUUCUAAUUUCAGAAACUUGCAACAAAAAUGAAUGUGGUCGUUCAACCCUUUGGUACCUUUGAUUUGUUGUCUUUAGGAAGUUGUGCUAGCUUCAUCUUUAUUUUCUAAAGCUAACUACUGGAGUGAUGAAAAUCUAAUUUUACUAGACUUUAGCCUCUUAUGGGUCAUGUGGACAGGCCAUCUCUCUCGUAGCCAAGAGGGGCCUGAGUAGAUGCAGUUGGAUACGAGGUUUAGAGAUUCUAAUCUUAAAGCUAUUGGAUGGAUUGAUGAAUAAUGGAAACGAUAAUUGGUUUUUUUGAUUUAUUGUGAGCUCAACCCCCCUCCCCUCUCCACUAACUUGUCCAUGAAUUGCAGUUGGAUUCAGAUCUCAGGGUUUGUCCGUGAUAUACAAUUUGGAUGACUGAUAAUGUAAUAUAUGAUUUUAUUUAUUUUAUUGCAUUUUUAUUCCGUUUCUUUUUGCUGAUGGCCCCCUCCCCACCUGGAUGUUCCAUUGGUUUGUCUAUUGCAUGCAGUUGGAUCUCGUGUUUGGAGUCUUAUCUCAAAGCUAUUAAUGGAAGAUUAUCUAAUUUGUGAUUUUUAAUUCCAUAGUUCUAUUUCGUGCUAAUCACCCCCUCGCAACCUAGAUGGUAAAAAUGCAGUUGGAUAUGAGGUUUAGAGUCUUAUCUUAACAGUUGUGAUGGGCACAAACAUAAGGGGAAGAUAAUCUAAAUUGUGAGUUAUUUACUUCAUAGGACUUCUGUUCCCUUGUGUGCUAAUACCACGAUGUUUCAUUUUGUCUUGUGCUUUCUGAUCUGUCCUUGAUUUCGAUUCUCUGCUUGAAACAGACGUGGGUUUACUUACCGUUUGCAUUUUAAUGCUUCUAGAGUAAUUGGACUCAUUCAGGCAAUCUGUUUUUCCUUCUUACUGUUGAUUGUAGUUGUUUGUUAUGGGACUUGCUCGCCUUUUUUGCAGAACCUGUGGUAGUGGUAAAGUUGGCUGAAUUGGAAUGUAUGAUUAUGCAUCAAGGCCCUGGCAGUAUGUCUCGGUCUUUGCUGAAUGUGGUUUGUGUUCCAAAGCUCCGAAUUUAGAAAAUUCCACAAGUCUGUUCUACUUCCCUGCCAUUGAGUUUAGUUCUUCCGGUUUUGGGGUUUGCUCGGCUUUUUUUGCAGAACCUAGAUGGGAUCGGCCCUAUUAUAUGUUUACUGCUCUCCAUCGAUUCUCUGUCAUUGGUAUUUUCUGACCGUUCAUCAUCACUUCACUAACCAGCAUAUUUGAUGAAGGUGAAAUUCUGUUUGUAUUAUAUUGUCAGGCCGUUUGAAGGGUGUUAUCUCAGCUUUCGUCUUCUUAAUGGUUUGCCAAGAAUCGUUUAAUUGAACAUCCUCCAUUUGUUUAGUGAUUUCUGUUGUCAGCAGUUUGUUCGUUGGAGUUUUUGGGUUGUGUUUGUUAGACAUGUGUUGCUUUAAUUUCUGGAACUGGACUUGUGGUGACAUCUGGUGCUUUGAUCUAAUUCGAGUUGAUGUUUUGUGGC